AAGAAAUCACUAUCUCCCAA
rnacentral:miRNA from 1 species